AAGAGAUGCUGAAAGGAUUCAGCAUAGAAACCUCCAAAAGAAAUCUAUUAUCCUCUUGGACAUAGGAGUAUGCCAUACUAUGUGCUCAAUUUCAUAUAUCUUACUAUAAGAGUCACGAGCAGAUAGCACUAGAUUGCUGUAAAAAACAUCCCAAGUACUUGAGAAGCACUAAGGGUUUAUUUUUGGUCUUUGGAGAAAAGAUAGA
rnacentral:lncRNA from 1 species